UACGAAGGGGGCUAGCGUUGCUCGGAAUCACUGGGCGUAAAGCGCACGUAGGCGGAUUGCUAAGUCAGGGGUGAAAUCCUGGAGCUCAACUCCAGAACUGCCUUUGAUACUGGCGACCUUGAGUCCGGGAGAGGUGAGUGGAACUGCGAGUGUAGAGGUGAAAAUUCGUAGAUAUUCGCAAGAACACCAGUGGCGAAGGCGGCUCACUGGCCCGGUACUGACGCUGAGGUGCGAAAGCGUGGGGAGCAAACAGGG
rnacentral:rRNA from 1 species